rnacentral:rRNA from 1 species
CCUACGGGUGGCAGCAGUGGGGAAUAUUGCACAAUGGGGGAAACCCUGAUGCAGCGACGCCGCGUGAGUGAAGAAGUAUUUCGGUAUGUAAGGCUCUAUCAGCAGGGAAGAAAUAGCGACCUUUGGGUCGCCAGACGGUACCUGAUUAAGAAGCACCGGCCAACUACGUGCCAGCAGCCGCGGUAAUACGUAGGGUGCAAGCGUUAUCCGGAUUUAACGGGUGUAAAGGGAGCGUAGACGGCAGCGCAAGUCUGAAGUGAAAUGCCGGGGCUUAACCCCGGAACUGCUUUGGAAACUGUGCAGCUAGAGUGCAGGAGAGGUAAGUGGAAUUCCUAGUGUAGCGGUGAAAUGCGUAGAUAUUAGGAGGAACACCAGUGGCGAAGGCGGCUUACUGGACUGUAACUGACGUUGAGGCUCGAAAGCGUGGGGAGCAAACAGGAUUAGAUACCCCAGUAGUC